GGAGUUAGCCGGUGCUUCUUCUGUGAGUGAUGUCCUUCCUGCCGGCUAUUAACCCGCAGGCCUUCUUCCUCACUGAAAGUGCUUUACAACCCGAAGGCCUUCUUCACACACGCGGCAUGGCUGGAUCAGGGUUGCCCCCAUUGUCCAAUAUUCCCCACUGCUGCCUCCCGUAGGAGUCUGGGCCGUGUCUCAGUCCCAGUGUGGCUGAUCAUCCUCUCAGACCAGCUACGGAUCGUCGCCUUGGUGAGCCGUUACCUCACCAACCAGCUAAUCCGACAUAGGCUCAUCCGAUAGCGCGAGGCCCGAAGGUCCCCCGCUUUCCCCCGUAGGGCGUAUGCGGUAUUAGCCUGGGUUUCCCCAGGUUAUCCCCCACUACCGGGCAGAUUCCUAUGCAUUACUCACCCGUCCGCCGCUCGACACCAGGGAGCAAGCUCCCCGUGCUGCCGCUCGACUUGCAUGUGUUAGGCCUGCCGCCAGCGUUCAAUCUGAGCCAUAAUCAAACUCUGA
rnacentral:rRNA from 1 species